rnacentral:rRNA from 1 species
AUUGAACGCUGGCGGCAUGCCUUACACAUGCAAGUCGAACGGCAGCACGGGAGCAAUCCUGGUGGCGAGUGGCGAACGGGUGAGUAAUAUAUCGGAACGUGCCCGGUCGUGGGGGAUAACGUAGCGAAAGCUACGCUAAUACCGCAUACGAUCUACGGAUGAAANCGGGGGAUCGCAAGACCUCGCGCGAUUGGAGCGGCCGAUAUCAGAUUAGGUAGUUGGUGAGGUAAAGGCUCACCAAGCCGACGAUCUGUAGCUGGUCUGAGAGGACGACCAGCCACACUGGGACUGAGACACGGCCCAGACUCCUACGGGAGGCAGCAGUGGGGAAUUUUGGACAAUGGGCGCAAGCCUGAUCCAGCAAUGCCGCGUGCAGGAUGAAGGCCU